rnacentral:misc_RNA from 1 species
AACGCACAUUGCGCCCUUUGGUAUUCCGAGGGGCACGCCUGUUCGAGCGUCAUUUAAACAAUCAAGCAUGGCUUGGCUCUGGGCGUGGUCGAGUGACCCGUCCGCAACCCGUUGGCGGUACCGUCCGGCUUCAAGCGUAGUAAAUCUCUCUCGCUUCAGGAGCCUGUGGCGGUGCCCGCCAGGUAACUUUUGACCCAAAGUUUGACCUCGGAUCAGGUGAGGAUACCCGCUGAACUUAA